AACGAACGCUGGCGGCAUGCCUAACACAUGCAAGUCGAACGAAACCUUCGGGACUAGUGGCCCACGGGUGCGUAACGCGUGGGAAUCUGCACUUGGGGUCGGGAUAACUGUUGGAAAGGACUGCUAAUACCGGAUGAUGGCUUCGGUCGAAAGAUUUAUCGCGCAGGGAUGAGCCCGCGUCGGAUUAGCUAGUUGGUAAGGUAAGAGCUCACUAAGGCGCCGAUCCGCAGCUGGGUUGAGAGGAUGAUCAGCCACACUGGGACUGAGAAACGGCCCAGAAUCCUACGCGAGGCAGCAGUGGGGAAUAGUGCACAAUCGGCGAAGGCAUGAACCAGCACUGCCGCGAGAGCGAUGAAGGCCUUAGGGUUGUAAAGCUCUUUUAACCGGGAUGGUAAUGACGGUACCGGAAGAAUAAGCCCCGGCUAACUCCGUG
rnacentral:rRNA from 1 species